CAAUAGCGUAUAUUAAAGUUGUUGCAGUUAAAAAGCUCGUAGUUGGAUUUCUGGAUGGAGCGACCGGUCGGGCAUUAAUUUGUCUGCACUGGAGUCGGUUCCGUCCAUCCUCUUGGAAAGUGCGUGGGGCAUUAAGUUGUCUGGCGUAUGAUCCAAGUCGUUUACUGUGAAAAAAUUAGAGUGUUUAAAGCAGGCCUUCGCCUUGAAUACAUUAGCAUGGAAUAAUAAGAUAGGACUUUGGUCUAUUUUGUUGGUUUGCAGACCGAAGUAAUGAUUAAUAGGGAUAGUUGGGGGUAUUUAUAUUCCGAUGUCAGAGGUGAAAUUCUUAGAUUUGUUAAAGACGGACUACUGCGAAAGCAUUUGCCAAGGAUGUUUUCAUUGA
rnacentral:rRNA from 1 species